rnacentral:rRNA from 1 species
UAGAGUUUGAUCAUGGCUCAGGACGAACGCUGGCGGCGUGCUUAACACAUGCAAGUCGAGCGGAAAGGCCCUUCGGGGUACUCGAGCGGCGAACGGGUGAGUAACACGUGAGUAAUCUGCCCCUAGCUCUGGGAUAGCUCCGGGAAACCGGGAUUAAUACCGGAUACGACCACCUUAGACAUCUUUUGUGGUGGAAAGAAUUUCGGCUAGGGAUGAGCUCGCGGCCUAUCAGCUUGUUGGUGGGGUAACGGCCUACCAAGGCGACGACGGGUAGCCGGCCUGAGAGGGCGACCGGCCACACUGGGACUGAGACACGGCCCAGACUCCUACGGGAGGCAGCAGUGGGGAAUAUUGCGCAAUGGGCGAAAGCCUGACGCAGCGACGCCGCGUGGGGGAUGAAGGCCUUCGGGUUGUAAACCCCUUUCAGCAGGGACGAAGCGCCCGUAAGGGCUUGACGGUACGGGUAUAAGAAGCCCCGGAUAACUACGUGCCAGCAGCCGCGGUAAUGCGAC